GACCCCUUGGCUCAGUGGUAGAGCGUCGCAUUCCAGUCCAUACGCUGCCUCGCGAAGGCCGUCCGUUCGAUCCGGGCAGGGGUCA